CACAAGAAUGAGGAUCUGAGUUGGAACCAAAGAACCUAUCCCAAAAUUGCCACAGCCUUGGCCCCUCAACCCGCUGGAGAAACAGGAUCCUGGUCAGGUUGGCAAGAU